UACAGAGGGUGCGAGCGUUAAUCGGAAUUACUGGGCGUAAAGCGCGCGUAGGCGGCUUUGCAAGUCGGGUGUGAAAUCCCCAGGCUUAACCUGGGAACUGCAUUCGAGACUGCAUUGCUAGAGUAUGGGAGAGGGAAGUGGAAUUUCAGGUGUAGCGGUGAAAUGCGUAGAUAUCUGAAGGAACAUCAGUGGCGAAAGCGACUUCCUGGACCAAUCUGACGCUCAUGUGCGAAAAGCGUGGGGGAGCAAACAG
rnacentral:rRNA from 1 species